GAUUAACGCUGGCGGCGUGCCUAACACAUGCAAGUCGAGCGGCAGCGAGUUUUACACUGAAUUCUGGAAGCUUCUAGUUGAAAGAGAAGAUUUAUUCAAGAAUUUUGUGUAAAAUGUCGGCGAGCGGCGGACGGCCGAGUAACGCGUGGGAACGUACCCCAAAGUGAGGGAUAACGCAUCGAAAGGUGUGCUAAUACCGCAUAUGGUCUUCGGAUUAAAGCCUUCGGGCGCUUUGGGAACGGCCUGCGUAAGAUUAGUUAGUUGGUAGGGUAAUGGCCUACCAAGGCGACGAUCUUUAACUGGUAUGAGAGGAUGAUCAGUCAGACUGGAACUGAGACACGGUCCAGACUCCUACGGGAGGCAGCAGUGAGGGAUCGUCCACAAUGGGCGAAAGCAUGAUGGAGCAACGCCGCGUGCAGGAUGAAGGCCUUCGGGUUGUAAACUGCUUUUAUAAGUGAGGAUUAUGACAGUAACUUAUGAAUAAGGAUCGGCUAACUACGUG
rnacentral:rRNA from 1 species